AAGGAAACAGAACCUAGCUCACUAUCUCUUUGCUGUGUUGGUGCUAAUAGGAUUAAAAAUUAACAAACACUUUAACACCAUUUAGCAGAUAAAGGGAGAUCAUCUGUUGCACAAGAAGGUUCUACAGCUGUAGAACAGAAUGAGAAGGCAGUGAGACUGUUGCAACAGGAAAGAGGAUUUAGAUUUCU